GAAAAAAGAAGCUUCAUAUCUAUAGCAACUUCAACUCUUUAAAUUUGUGAUGAGUAGCUAUCACAUCCCCCACCCACUUCUGUUACUAAUCUUUUCUAGACUAGUACAAAGUAAUAAAAAAUAAAAUAACAGCAUUGAUUUUGGAAGAAGAUGUUUCUCUUAUUUUAUUUAUUUUCUUUUCACAAUUUGAAUUCAAAAAAUUAGACCUGCAAACAGCAACUCUUGAACUCGGCAAUUCUUAUCCUGCAAAAACUUUACUGCUAUGUCCACGCAUAAUUGUUUCAGGCCAGGAGUGCUUAUAUUUGCAAAUUAGCACUUUGUUUAUGGUGUGAGAAGUACUCCAGUUGCAAUCUUUUCUAUUCAGCAGUUAUUGACAAAAAAUACACAAUCUAUACCUUUAUUGGAUUUUAGGCAAUUGAAUGUCUCUAUCACCAAGGCAGUGUUUCUUAUCCAUAGUGCCCACAUGAUGUCAUGAGGAAACCAACAAAAAUUUUGAGCGGUUGCAUUCGGUACUAAAGAACUUGUAUUUAAUGAAUUUUUGACUGUAAAGCAGUUCAUCCUUCAAUUAUCUUGAGCAUGUUUGCAUGAAUCAGAAUUAGAAUCAGAAGCCAUCUCCUAAAAGAAAUUGAGCUCAGUGCAUCCAAGUGCCUGCGGCAGUAGCUCCUCUACCUCAAUUCUGGAGCUGGAACAACUCAUGCUUUUCUUGAUUCGG
rnacentral:misc_RNA from 1 species